rnacentral:rRNA from 1 species
GACGAACGCUGGCGGCGUGCUUAACACAUGCAAGUCGAACGGAAAGGCCCUGCUUUUGUGGGGUGCUCGAGUGGCGAACGGGUGAGUAACACGUGAGUAACCUGCCCUUGACUUUGGGAUAACUUCAGGAAACUGGGGCUAAUACCGGAUAGGAGCUCCUGCUGCAUGGUGGGGGUUGGAAAGUUUCGGCGGUUGGGGAUGGACUCGCGGCUUAUCAGCUUGUUGGUGGGGAAGUGGCUUACCAAGGCUUUGACGGGUAGCCGGCCUGAGAGGGUGACCGGCCACAUUGGGACUGAGAUACGGCCCAGACUCCUACGGGAGGCAGCAGUGGGGAAUAUUGCACAAUGGGCGGAAGCCUGAUGCAGCAACGCCGCGUGCGGGAUGACGGCCUUCGGGUUGUAAACCGCUUUCGCCUGCGACGAAGCGUGAGUGACGGUAAUGGGUAAAGAAGCACCGGCUAACUACGUG